AAGGAGAUUGCCGAAAAUCCGAUAAAGAGUAGGCA
ncrna:unclassified sequences DTF805b RNA